CCUCUGGUGAAGAGAGCCACCUUACUGAGUUCUCAACCCCUAAUGGGGGGAGUAUCCAAUGACAAGUUGGUACCAGGAUUCAUGCCUAGUACAGAGUCCGGUGUGGGCAUGAACUCACAACCCUGAGGUCAAGACCUGAGCUGAGAUCAAGAGUCUGAUGCUUAACUGACUAAGCCACCAAGGAACCCCAUUAGUCAUGUAUUUUAAAAUAUUAUUUGCAUUUCAUCUAAUUAAAGUUGACAUGGAAGAAGUAACAAAUCUGAAUAGAUGAGAAACCAUGCAAGAAAUGUAAUAUUUUAAAGAACUACCUUCAAAAAUGAGUUCUAGACUCAGAAGAUUUUAUGGUUUUAACAAGGAGCGUAUCCAAUGAAGC